rnacentral:tRNA from 1 species
UUCCUAGUGGUCCAGUGGCUAAGACUCCAUGCUCCCAACGUGGUAGGCCCAGGUUUGAUUCCUGGUCAGGGAA